rnacentral:rRNA from 1 species
UACGAAGGGGGCUAGCGUUGUUCGGAAUUACUGGGCGUAAAGCGCGCGUAGGCGGAUAUUUAAGUCAGGGGUGAAAUCCCGGGGCUCAACCUUGGAACUGCCUUCGAAACUGCGGGUCUUGAGUUCGAGAGAGGUGAGUGGAAUUCCGAGUGUAGAGGUGAAAUUCGUAGAUAUUCGGAGGAACACCAGUGGCGAAGGCGGCUCACUGGCUCGAUACUGACGCUGAGGUGCGAAAGCGUGGGGAGCAAACAGG